rnacentral:rRNA from 1 species
AUUGAACGCUGGCGGCAGGCCUAACACAUGCAAGUCGAACGAGUGGCGGACGGGUGAGUAAUGUCUGGGAAACUGCCCGAUGGAGGGGGAUAACUACUGGAAACGGUAGCUAAUACCGCAUACCAUCAGAUGUGCCCAGAUGGGAUUAGUUUGUUGGUGGGGUAACGGCUCACCAAGGCGACGAUCCCUAGCUGGUCUGAGAGGAUGACCAGCCACACUGGAACGGAGACACGGUCCAGACGCCUACGGGAGGCAGCAGAGGGGAAUAUUGCACAAUGGGGGAAAGCCUGAUGCAGCCAUGCGGCUUGUAUGAAGAGGGCCUUCGGGUUGUAAAGUACUUUCAGCGAGGAGACGUUAACCGCAGAAUAAGCACCGGCUAACUUCGUGCCAGCAGCCGCGGUAAUAC